rnacentral:rRNA from 1 species
CGGACGGGUGAGUAAUGUCUGGGAAACUGCCUGAUGGAGGGGGAUAACUACUGGAAACGGUAGCUAAUACCGCAUAGCGUCGCAAGACCAAAGAGGGGGACCCUCGGGCCUCUUGCCAUCGGAUGUGCCCAGAUGGGAUUAGCUAGUAGGUGGGGUAACGGCUCACCUAGGCGACGAUCCCUAGCUGGUCUGAGAGGAUGACCAGCCACACUGGAACUGAGACACGGUCCAG